rnacentral:lncRNA from 1 species
CAGAAUUUGUUCACGAUUUUGCGAGUUGGGAUAUGCUGAUGCCAGAGCUCGCGAUAAAAUCGGAUGGUUAUUUACACGCUACGAUUAAUCGUGACUAAAAUCGGCCCGACAGAUCACAGCGUGUAAACGUUACUUCAGCAUGACACAAAUUGAGACUUACCGAAUUGCAAAUAAUUCAAGGAUUAAUAGCAACAAAAUGAAUGCAGAAAUUGACCACAACACAAUGGGGAUACUGAGAUCUGAGACUGAGGUUUCAUCUGGGGUUUCAUCACAAGUGACAUUGGGAAGAGGCCUCACACAUGAACAAUUGUAUUUCGACAUCAUCUCAUGGCAAUCUUCUGCGACACAGUGAGGUCAAAUUGCUGGCUUUUAUAUUCCCCAAAUGAGAAAGCAUUAGUCGUGUUUGAAGAAAUUCCAUGGUGAAGGAAAACCGUUACAAGACCACUUUUAUUCAAAAUACUGUAGAGGACCCAAUUAAGUGCCAGUGAAGAAUUCGUUGAAGUCGAUUUCUUAGUAAAAUAUAAACACUUUCCAAGAACCCG